rnacentral:rRNA from 1 species
AUGGCGAUCACCCACACGCAGUACGAGCGCCACCUCAUCCUCCAGCGCCACAAGAUCGUCGGCAUUGAUCUCGAGUACAACAACGAGCCGGAAGCAACACAGAAACCCGCCCUCUGCCAACUCUCCAUCGGCAAGAAAUACCUAGUGCUGCUCUUCCAACAGAGCGCCACUGAAAGAUGCACCGUCUUCGACAACUUCCUCACCGACCCCAGGUACACCUUUGCAGGCUUCUCCAUCGACGACGACAAAACCAAGCUAGAGCGCGUCAAUCUGGAGGUCGCCAACUUUGUCGACAUCCAUAAGGAGUGGAGGGUGCCCGAGGCAACCAAGGAGUUGGACUCCCUUGGAGACGUCUCCGGCAUGCUCAUCGACGACUACUACAACAACAUGAAGAAGAAGAUCACCGACGACGAGCACAAGCACUGGGCCACCCUGCCUCUGUCCGCACAUCGAAAACUGCCAUCCACAAUAAAAUUUCCUGCUCCGAGUUCAGGGAAGGUUACUUUGGAGACACAACACAAGAAUGGGUAUGCAGACAUGCAAGCUGACUACCACAUCGACUGUGAAGACUGCAUCAACAUAACUACUGGUUGGAAAGAUUUUGUCUCCCAGAAUGGCUUUGAGGUCGAAGAAGUGGCCAUGGUGUUUUUCUACAAAGAAGAAGACUCCCUCAAGUUUACAAUAUUUGCACUCUAG